AAGCGGAAGGCGGGAGCCGCGCUGUCUUUUCGUCGCGUCGCUCGGCGGGAUGAGGGGCGGCAGCGGGCGGCUCGCUCCGUCCCGGGGUGAGGGGGGGAAGCGAGCGCCUCCGGUCCUCUCGGUGCCGGUCGAGGAGAGCCAUUCUGGGCAGGGCCCGUGCCGCCCCGACCGCCGGCCGCUCGCCCCGGCCUCCCUUUCCCGCGCCAUGUUGCAGCGAAGCUCUUUCAGGGCGGGCCUUGAUGGCGGCGGCGGGUUUCGCUGCUCCUCGUCUCCCCCGUCGCUGAACACGGGAAGGAUGCAGUGAGGAGGUGGCUGCGGACCGGCAGAGCCCCCCGUGCGGCGCGGGGAGGGUGUGAUGGAGCCUGGCGGAAGAAAAGGGGUGAAGUGAAAAAGAUUGUGCAUCUUUAAAAAUCCAGGAGAAAGCCAUGUGACGUGGCAGAGGUCUUCUCAAAGACCUGAGGAGCAGCAGUGGAUUUACUGUUGAGAAUGGGACUGAGCUCUGGAAAACUUGCUUCAAAUGUUGAAGAUCACGCCGUGAGUUUCGGAAUUUCUAGCAAACCUGGCUGCAGCGAAAGAAAUGGUUGGCGGUGUCUGCGUUCGGAGAUUCCUAAAACUUCAUCUGUUCUCACGCGGGGGUUCAAGCACACCCGCAGCCCAGAGUCCAUGCGAGGUGGCUUGUGCUUCUGAAUGUUUGCUGCAACCUGGGCAUUCAAAUGUCAGUUCGGGGAAAAAAAAACCAAAAAAAACCAACAACAACAACAAAAAAAAACCCC